GACGUAGGGCGCGAGCGUUGUCCGGAUUUAUUGGGCGUAAAGAGCUCGUAGGCGGCUUGUUACGUCGUUCGUGAAAACUUGGGGCUCAACCCCAAGCUUGCGGUCGAUACGGGCAGGCUAGAGUUCGGUAGGGGAGACUGGAAUUCCUGGUGUAGCGGUGAAAUGCGCAGAUAUCAGGAGGAACACCGGUGGCGAAGGCGGGUCUCUGGGCCGAUACUGACGCUGAGGAGCGAAAGCUAGGGGAGCAAACGGG
rnacentral:rRNA from 1 species